rnacentral:sRNA from 1 species
UAGUCUUGUAUAUCCGAAUAUUGGUACGC